GGAGACUGUGGCUUAGCGGCAGAGCACAUGGGCUCGGCAUCCAGAAGGUUCCAGGUUCAAUCCCCAGGAUCUCCG